rnacentral:rRNA from 1 species
AACGUACGCUGGCGGCACGCCUAACACAUGCAAGUCGAACGAAGUAGCAAUACUUAGUGGCAGACGGGUGAGUAACAUGUAGGUAUCUGCCCUUUGGCCUGGAAUAACACGAGGAAACUUGUGCUAAUACCGGAUAAGUCUUUACGGAGAAAGCUUUAUGCACCAUUGGAUGAGCCUGCACUUGAUUAGUUUGUUGGUGGGGUAAUGGCCUACCAAGACUGUGAUCAAUAGCUGAUUUGAGAGGAUGAUCAGCCACAUUGGGACUGAGACACGGCCCAAACUCCUACGGGAGGCAGCAGUGGGGAAUCUUGCACAAUGGAGGAAACUCUGAUGCAGCGAUGCCGCGUGAGUGAAGAAGGCCCUUGGGUUGUAAAGCUCUUUCGUCGGGGAAGAAAAUGACUGUACCCGAAUAAGAAGGUCCGGCUAACUUCGUGCCAGCAGCCGCGGUAAUACGAAGGGACCUAGCGUAGUUCGGAAUUACUGGGCUUAAAGAGUUCGUAGGUGGUUGAAAAAGUUAGUGGUGAAAUCCCAGAGCUUAACUCUGGAACUGCCAUUAAAACUUUUCAGCUAGAGUAUGAUAGAGGAAAGCAGAAUUUCUAGUGUAGAGGUGAAAUUCGUAGAUAUUAGAAAGAAUACCAAUUGCGAAGGCAGCUUUCUGGAUCAUUACUGACACUGAGGAACGAAAGCAUGGGUAGCGAAGAGGAUUAGAUACCCUCGUAGUCCAUGCCGUAAACGAUGUGUGUUAGACGUUGGAAAUUUAUUUUCAGUGUCGCAGGGAAACCGAUAAACACACCGCCUGGGGAGUACGACCGCAAGGUUAAAACUCAAAUGAAUUGACGGGGACCCGCACAAGUAGUGGAGCAUGUGGUUUAAUUCGAAGAUACGCGCAGAACCUUACCAACACUUGACAUGUUCGUCGCGACUCUAAGAGAUUAGAGUUUUCGGUUCGGCCGGACGAAACACAGGUGCUGCAUGGCUGUCGUCAGCUCGUGUCGUGAGAUGUUGGGUUAAGUCCCGCAACGAGCGCAACCCUCACUUUUAGUUGCCAUCAUUUAGUUGGGCACUCUGAAAGAACUGCCAGUGAUAAGCUGGAGGAAGGUGGGGAUAACGUCAAGUCCUCAUGGCCCUUACGUGUUGGGCUACACACGUGCUACAAUGGUAUCUACAACAGGAAGCAAGACUGCGAAGUUAAGCAAAUCCCUAAAAGAUACCUCAGUUCGGAUUGCACUCUGCAACUCGAGUGCAUGAAGCUGGAAUUACUAGUAAUCGUGGAUCAGCGUGCCACGGUGAAUGCGUUCCCGGGUCU